GAGCACGACUGGACCCACCCCGCUUUCUUCAAGGGGAACCACGCAGCCCAAAAACAGACAUGUCAUUCAACAGAGGGCCUUAUCUUUAUCUGCCUUCUACUGUUUUGAUCAAUGUUCGGAUGUUUUUCCGCAGCACGCGGUGAGGCUUUAACAAAACAUGAGCUGUUUGUUCUGGAGCGGCUUGCGCCACAACCGCCCACUUCACACGGACCUGCUGGGAAUCCCAACAUCCAGUUCUUGCAGGUGACUUUCCUGUCCAUGACGUUCAACAAUGGGUAGUUCUAUGAGGAAAGAAGCAGAAUGAAAUUCUUGUCUGACAAAUGAAGACAGACGUCUCCAUAGUCGCACACACAUCACAUCUCUCGGCAGAGUGAGCAGUCAUGAAGGCGGCCAACCUGUUGGCGUGAUGAAUAGACUCCGGACAGUUGAGAGCAGCUUCUGUCAGGGAAGCGG